rnacentral:rRNA from 1 species
CACACUAUCAUUAACUGAAUCCAUAGGUUAAUGAGGCGAACCGGGGGAACUGAAACAUCUAAGUACCCCGAGGAAAAGAAAUCAACCGAGAUUCCCCCAGUAGCGGCGAGCGAACGGGGAGGAGCCCAGAGCCUGAAUCAGUGUGUGUGUUAGUGGAAGCGUCUGGAAAGGCGCGCGAUACAGGGUGACAGCCCCGUACACAAAAAUGCACAUACUGUGAGCUCGAUGAGUAGGGCGGGACACGUGGUAUCCUGUCUGAAUAUGGGGGGACCAUCCUCCAAGGCUAAAUACUCCUGACUGACCGAUAGUGAACCAGUACCGUGAGGGAAAGGCGAAAAGAACCCCGGCGAGGGGAGUGAAAAAGAACCUGAAACCGUGUACGUACAAGCAGUGGGAGCCUCUUAAUGGGGUGACUGCGUACCUUUUGUAUAAUGGGUCAGCGACUUAUAUUCUGUAGCAAGGUUAACCGAAUAGGGGAGCCGAAGGGAAACCGAGUCUUAACUGGGCGUUAAGUUGCAGGGUAUAGACCCGAAACCCGGUGAUCUAGCCAUGGGCAGGUUGAAGGUUGGGUAACACUAACUGGAGGACCGAACCGACUAAUGUUGAAAAAUUAGCGGAUGACUUGUGGCUGGGGGUGAAAGGCCAAUCAAACCGGGAGAUAGCUGGUUCUCCCCGAAAGCUAUUUAGGUAGCGCCUCGUGAAUUCAUCUCCGGGGGUAGAGCACUGUUUCGGCAAGGGGGUCAUCCCGACUUACCAACCCGAUGCAAACUGCGAAUACCGGAGAAUGUUAUCACGGGAGACACACGGCGGGUGCUAACGUCCGUCGUGAAGAGGGAAACAACCCAGACCGCCAGCUAAGGUCCCAAAGUCAUGGUUAAGUGGGAAACGAUGUGGGAAGGCCCAGACAGCCAGGAUGUUGGCUUAGAAGCAGCCAUCAUUUAAAGAAAGCGUAAUAGCUCACUGGUCGAGUCGGCCUGCGCGGAAGAUGUAACGGGGCUAAACCAUGCACCGAAGCUGCGGCAGCGACGCUUAUGCGUUGUUGGGUAGGGGAGCGUUCUGUAAGCCUGUGAAGGUGUACUGUGAGGUAUGCUGGAGGUAUCAGAAGUGCGAAUGCUGACAUAAGUAACGAUAAAGCGGGUGAAAAGCCCGCUCGCCGGAAGACCAAGGGUUCCUGUCCAACGUUAAUCGGGGCAGGGUGAGUCGACCCCUAAGGCGAGGCCGAAAGGCGUAGUCGAUGGGAAACAGGUUAAUAUUCCUGUACUUGGUGUUACUGCGAAGGGGGGACGGAGAAGGCUAUGUUGGCCGGGCGACGGUUGUCCCGGUUUAAGCGUGUAGGCUGGUUUUCCAGGCAAAUCCGGAAAACUAAGGCUGAGGCGUGAUGACGAGGCACUACGGUGCUGAAGCAACAAAUGCCCUGCUUCCAGGAAAAGCCUCUAAGCAUCAGGUAACAUCAAAUCGUACCCCAAACCGACACAGGUGGUCAGGUAGAGAAUACCAAGGCGCUUGAGAGAACUCGGGUGAAGGAACUAGGCAAAAUGGUGCCGUAACUUCGGGAGAAGGCACGCUGAUAUGUAGGUGAAGCGACUUGCUCGUGGAGCUGAAAUCAGUCGAAGAUACCAGCUGGCUGCAACUGUUUAUUAAAAACACAGCACUGUGCAAACACGAAAGUGGACGUAUACGGUGUGACGCCUGCCCGGUGCCGGAAGGUUAAUUGAUGGGGUUAGCGGUAACGCGAAGCUCUUGAUCGAAGCCCCGGUAAACGGCGGCCGUAACUAUAACGGUCCUAAGGUAGCGAAAUUCCUUGUCGGGUAAGUUCCGACCUGCACGAAUGGCGUAAUGAUGGCCAGGCUGUCUCCACCCGAGACUCAGUGAAAUUGAACUCGCUGUGAAGAUGCAGUGUACCCGCGGCAAGACGGAAAGACCCCGUGAACCUUUACUAUAGCUUGACACUGAACAUUGAGCCUUGAUGUGUAGGAUAGGUGGGAGGCUUUGAAGUGUGGACGCCAGUCUGCAUGGAGCCGGCCUUGAAAUACCACCCUUUAAUGUUUGAUGUUCUAACGUUGGCCCCUGAUCGGGGUUGCGGACAGUGUCUGGUGGGUAGUUUGACUGGGGCGGUCUCCUCCUAAAGAGUAACGGAGGAGCACGAAGGUUGGCUAAUCCUGGUCGGACAUCAGGAGGUUAGUGCAAUGGCAUAAGCCAGCUUGACUGCGAGCGUGACGGCGCGAGCAGGUGCGAAAGCAGGUCAUAGUGAUCCGGUGGUUCUGAAUGGAAGGGCCAUCGCUCAACGGAUAAAAGGUACUCCGGGGAUAACAGGCUGAUACCGCCCAAGAGUUCAUAUCGACGGCGGUGUUUGGCACCUCGAUGUCGGCUCAUCACAUCCUGGGGCUGAAGUAGGUCCCAAGGGUAUGGCUGUUCGCCAUUUAAAGUGGUACGCGAGCUGGGUUUAGAACGUCGUGAGACAGUUCGGUCCCUAUCUGCCGUGGGCGCUGGAGAACUGAGGGGGGCUGCUCCUAGUACGAGAGGACCGGAGUGGACGCAUCACUGGUGUUCGGGUUGUCAUGCCAAUGGCACUGCCCGGUAGCUAAAUGCGGAAGAGAUAAGUGCUGAAAGCAUCUAAGCACGAAACUUGCCCCGAGAUGAGUUCUCCCUGACUCCUUGAGAGUCCUGAAGGAACGUUGAAGACGACGACGUUGAUAGGCCGGGUGUGUAAGCGCAGCGAUGCGUUGAGCUAACCGGUACUAAUGAACCGUGAGGCUUAACCUU